GAUGAACGCUGGCGGCGUGCCUAAUACAUGCAAGUCGAGCGAAUGGAUUGAGAGCUUGCUCUUAUGAAGUUAGCGGCGGACGGGUGAGUAACACGUGGGUAACCUGCCCAUAAGACUGGGAUAACUCCGGGAAACCGGGGCUAAUACCGGAUAACAUUUUGAACCGCAUGGUUCGAAAUUGAAAGGCGGCUUCGGCUGUCACUUAUGGAUGGACCCGCGUCGCAUUAGCUAGUUGGUGAGGUAACGGCUCACCAAGGCAACGAUGCGUAGCCGACCUGAGAGGGUGGUCGGCCACACUGGGACUGAGAAACGGCCCAGACUCCUACGGGAGGCAGCAGUAGGGAAUCUUCCGCAAUGGACGAAAGUCUGACGGAGCAACGCCGCGUGAGUGAGGAAGGCUUUCGGGUCGUAAAACUCUGUUGUUAGGGAAGAACAAGUGCUAGUUGAAUAAGCUGGCACCUUGACGGUACCUAACCAGAAAGCCACGGCUAACUACGUGCCAGCCGCCGCGGUAA
rnacentral:rRNA from 1 species